ACUUUUUGACGUAGAGGCCGGCGCAGAGCUGCACUCUAUCUGGGAGAUUGCGCAUUUGCUUCGGCGUGAAUAGUUCUACCGAUCGACGCGCCAUCAGCUAUCAUUCCCAUCUGACAUUCUACGCGAUACACUUGUCCGCCAGUACCACAAACGUCAAGUGCCAGUGGUGUUAAUUUCUUGAAUUGACAAUGUGUUUUUCGCGCGCAUCAUGUUUCUAUAACGUGCGCUGAAAGUCUUUGUUGGAUCAGUGUCACUUCUCACUUGCAACUUGGUUAGAUUCAUAUUCAGUCUUGGUUACAUUCAGACACGUGUCAAAUCAGCUGAUAAGAGCGUGAAGUUAGCAGGUUACAUUGUGAGGUUAUAAAUCUUUUCUGCGCUUGAUUGCAUGUGAAGCUGACCGGACUCAUUCAAUAUGCCUCUUUUUGGGAAGAAUAAGGAUUCUACUAAGAAGACAAAAAAAGAUGGCAAGGAUUCCGAUAAGCCACCGACUGUUGAGGACAAGUACAUACUCAAAGAACUGCUUGGAACUGGUGCCUUUUCGGAAGUGAGACUGGCUGAGAGUAAAGAACACGAGGGACAAAUGUUCGCCGUCAAGAUUAUAGACAAGAAAGCCCUCAAGGGAAAAGAGGACUCUUUAGAAAACGAAAUAAAGGUUCUUAGAAGGUUCAGUGAGUCUACCAAGCGGACUGGCACUUGCUCGGAUAGUUCAGAAGAAACGACUUGGUUAACACAUCCAAAUAUAGUACAACUACUUGAAACAUUCGAAGACAAACAUAAAGUCUACCUGGUAAUGGAAUUAGUGACAGGGGGUGAACUUUUUGACCGUAUUGUUGAAAAAGGCUCAUAUACUGAGAAAGACGCAUCUGAUUUAAUUAGACAAGUUCUAGAGGCCGUAGACUACAUGCAUGAGCAAGGAGUCGUCCAUAGAGAUUUGAAGCCUGAAAAUCUACUCUACUAUAGCCCAGAUGAGGACAGUAAAAUAAUGAUUAGUGAUUUCGGUUUAUCGAAGAUGGAGGACUCUGGCAUCAUGGCUACAGCAUGUGGUACACCCGGGUAUGUCGCACCAGAAGUCCUGGCACAGAAGCCGUAUGGGAAGGCAGUGGAUGUCUGGAGCAUAGGUGUUAUAUCUUAUAUUCUACUUUGCGGUUACCCUCCAUUUUAUGAUGAAAACGAUGCUAAUUUAUUCGCACAAAUAUUGAAAGGUGAAUUCGAUUUCGACUCGCCGUACUGGGAUGAUAUCAGUGACUCAGCAAAAGACUUUAUCAGACAGCUAAUGUGUGUUGAUGUAGAUAAAAGGUACACUUGCAGACAAGCUCUAGCUCACCCCUGGAUAUCAGGAAAUGCAGCAAGCAACAAGAAUAUUCAUGGAACCGUAUCAGAGCAAUUGAAAAAGAACUUUGCUAAAUCGAGAUGGAAGCAAUUAAUGAAUGCCAUAGCAAUGGUGCACAAGAUGCAGAGAUUAGCUCUAACCGGUACUGGUACUAGUUCUAGUAACAUGGAGGUUGAUGAGAGCCCUCGCAUUAAAACUUGCGACACCAUCCGCGAAGAGUCGGAUGUCGAAGAAGAAGAUUGCAGCUUCAUUUAACUUCUUCAAGUUGUUUAUUUGAAAGCGAACCUAAAUCACCCGCUGUGCGAUCUCAUCAGUGAUCUGUUGAGGAGAGGGUGAUUUGUCCACGACAUCGUUUGUCUUCACAAAUAUUGCAAGCAUACCAUGCAACAGCGGUGAUAAGGCAAAUGCAGCGCAUGCGCCUGGGGGUAGCAACCACCAGUAACCUUGCACCUCACCUCAGCUCACCGCGUCAAAAUUAGAAAAUCGUCAACUUAACCCAAUACUCCACGCAAACAAACAUUGCUUUCCAAUAAUUAUUGUGAUCGAUUGUUAAUUAUUGUUGAUAUUGACUCUUGUUUUCAACAGUUAUUUGUGGCCUGUAAAUUUCAACUAAAAUACAUAUUAACUGACGUUGAUGUUUUUGGGUAGAUUUUUCAAUUACAAUAAUAUUAUUGUAUCGUUUCAAUUAAUUACUAUAUAAAUACUGUAGACUAUUUUCUUCUUUAUUCCAUGAUAAUAAUGAACAUUUUGGAGACCAGCAUUGUCUUCUUCAAGUGUUAAUUUAAAAUUCUAUUAAUGUUAUAAACAUAGCCUACUUAGGCAUAUUAUGUACUAUUUUUUCAAUUGACAACAUAGUGUGAUUGAACAGAGGGGAAGACAUUCAUAAUCAAUGUUGUUUAUUUAUACUAUAGGUAGAAGUAUUUGUGAACUGUGUACAUUAUAAUUCUAUUCUGGAACAUAGAUUAUCGUAUAGAUGCAUUUUUCUUAUUAGCUACUACUUCCAGUUACACUGACGUUUUGGGUGUUCCGUCUCGAAAAACAUUGUGACAUAACUUUUCUCUAUUUUUAUUAUAGUCUGUCCUCCUUCGUCUCAAUGAAUAUCACCUACCUCGUUAUAAAUGUUACCAUCAGUCAAGAUUAUUGCCUCAAAAUUGUUCGUGGAAAGCUUUUGAACAAUUAUUCUACUAAUAAUUUCUACCGUAUUUGAUCAAGUAUUGAUAACAUUUAAUCAAAUUGGAAAUCUUUUGAUUCGCAGUGCUAAACUGGUAUUAGAAAUAAUGUAAAUUUUCGAAAUUCCGAUAUUAGUUAAAAGCUGUUAACAUUUAGUUCAUGCUCAGUAAGCUACACUCUCGUUAAUGCUGUACCUAAGAAUUAAUAAAUAAUUGGUGUAGUACUGAUCAGAGGCAGCUGAGAGCUGCAUUUCUGCAUUUCUCAACCUGCCAAUCCAGGAUAACCCAUACUUCUUAGAAUUUAAAUUGUAUGUUUUUUUACGUUUAUCGGAUGUAUGUUUGUUCACAGAAGACUGAAUAAUUUGCUCGUUUGCAAUAAUACUAACGUUCUAUACUAUAGAUGAUGUGUACAUUGUAGACAUGUGUACAUUGAAAAAGGAAGAUACGUCCGUUUUAAGAUAGGAAAAUCCUGUUCAAAUCAUCAAUAUAAUGAUGGUUGUUGUUAGUGUUGCCAUAAGAAAAAUUAUAUUUAAAACGACAAAAUAUCCUAUGUAUAGACUAAUUUCUCAGAGUUUUAGUAAUGAUCAAAAGAGUGAACCAAUUAUUUAUUCUAGUUUUUCAAUUAUAGACAUGGGCUCGUUAUAGCAUAACAUCAUGGGGGUUUUGAAUUAGGUGGUUUAAUAAUUAAAUUGUCUGAAUGUAAAUUCGGUUGAUGGGCAUAUCAUCAGACUUUACUGUACUGUCUCUUUACGCCACUUAUAUGAAUGAGUACCUAUUUCUCUCGUAUUCUCAUGACUAAAAAUUGAAUGAACGAAUUGUCUGUUUGAACUGUUAGAUCUGUACAAAAUACUAUCGUGAAUAAUUGGAUAAAUUAAUGGAUAAAAAAGGAUUUACAAUAUUUAUUAAACAUGAAUUGUGUUUAAUAAGAAUAAGUUCUGUGCCUUUGAAUUUAAUUUCCACAUUUAGAUCUCUAGACUUCCACUGAUUGAAAGCAAAUUAAAAUCAACUAUUUAGAUGUUCAUCUUUGUAAUUCUAUCAGAAAAACAAAUCUUCCAUUAAUUUCGAAUAAAUAGCUGUCUAGUGUAUGCUGUUGAUUAUAAAAGUAUUGUUUGUAGUAGCAUCUUUUGGAACUAAUAUAUUGAAUUUUUUAUAAUACUGGUAUCUUGAGAUAUUUUAGGUACUGUUGAGUAAAUUUUGUUUGUUGUUGUAAUAAGCGCUUCGCUCUUGGUGAGAUUUCAAACAUCAGCAAUAAAGCUCUUAAGAGUGUAAUUAAUCACUGAUGUAUGUAGCCUAAAUUCGUGUUAGUUGUUUCACUAUCCUAAUCAAAUCUUUAUCUGAACUGCAAUGUUCUUAAUGUUAUUCAAGUAUAAUAUAAUUCAAGCUCGAAAUUGUAAUAAUUCCUAUCUAUUUUUCCGAUAAUUCACCCGAGCUGAAUGCUCUGAUAAAUUGACUGUGCCGUAUAUUGGAAAGAAAAGUUCAAUGUGACAUUGUAAAGUGAUUCGGAAGAAAUAGAUGUUGACAUUUUUUGGCUCUCAAUUAAAUUAUAAUGUACCAUAUAAUUAAAUAAGCUGAAUGUAGAGUUUUAAUGUUGUUUAUAGAUUUAACCUUGAACCUCCCGCAAAAAUAAAUAUAAAUGGACCAAAACUUAUAUCAUGAAAUUAAUUUGACAUUAUAAGAUUUGUCUCCUUUAUCAGAGACUUUCCUCUUCAUUUAUCUCUUUGGAUCACUAGAACGAGUGAUUGCUUACUGAGAUAUUGUAUAUUAUGAUAAUAAUAAUAAAAACCUCAUUCCACUUGUGUAGCAUUUUCAAAAAAAAAUUUGUUCAUUAGUUUUAAAAAAAAUUGUUCUUGAUAAAAUCUAUUGAAUUACAAUGUAGUGACUGAAAUGUUAUUGCCACGGAAUUUAGACAUCUUUCUCAUGAUAUUCACUGGCGUAGUAAGGCUCUUCAUUGACGUUUUUUCAAUUGGUUCCAGAAGACCAUCAUAUUGUUAACUAAACUCUAUUGUCUUGUCAUCUAUGCUCAGAAGGUAUCCAUUGUAAUGUAGAUUUUAUCAUGUAAUUGCAAAUCUUUUGUAUCUCAGAAAUUUCUUUUCAUUCACAUUGACGAAGCUAUUUAUAAAUCAGAGCCAACUGCUGCUAACAGAGUGAUUUCAAAAAUAUUCUGUUUUUAAAUUAUUCAAUCCCAUUUUAAUAUAUUUGCUAUCAGAUGAACAAUUAUAUAUCACAAUUAAGCCAUAUGGCUUUUGGAUUGAAUAGCAUUUUCUACUAAUACCAUCAAUGAUGAUCAAUGGAGCAAAACAUUAUACCUCAUUUCAUAUUAAUAAAUUAUCAAUGAAAAUAGGAGGAAGGUUUAAUAAUUUUGAAAUAUGCUUAAUAUGCUUUUGGACACAAAUUUUUUUCAGUUCUGACCAAAUUAAAUUUUGAUCGAUAAACUACCAACAAAAAUAAAAUAUAAUGUUUACUGGUUACUGAUCGUUAGUUGUUAUAAAUGAAUAACUUUUCUCAAAAAAGUCACUACUAAUCUGUGAAAGUUCCAAUUAACUUCCCAUCCUUUAAUAAACAAGGCAGUUAUUUUUCUGUGUUUUUCGCGUUGUUAAACAUGAAAACGCACACGCACACUUGUAAUGAUUCCUGAUAUUAGUUUUCUUUUUGAAUCCGAAAUGUUUGUGAGGUAAGAAAUUCAAUAUGGCACUUGCAUUAGCUUUUGUAAUUUCAAUUCAACAUUGAAUUGACAACCUUUCAAGCAUUUUUUAUUUUGUAUAGUAUUUUAUUUAUACUGUAGUUCAAAUUAAAAUCCUGGUGCAAUGCAUUAUAUGAAAUUAAAAGAUAAUGGUUAUAUAUGUGUAUAUUACAUAUUUAUUUUUCAAAUAAGCACUGGAACAGUGCAGCUCCUAAAUUCUGUUUUUCAUUAUACAUUAAUCAAUCGUCAAUUGUUAUCAAUCAAUGUUACAAAUAGUGCUCUAAUAAUAAAUUUAUGAUUAUCUAUGACGUCUCGUUGUGAGAAAAACUGGGACAUAAUCCUGUAAUUAUAUAUUUCAAUAACCGUGUUAAUGAGUCCAUAUGUCAGCUACAGGAACUCAUUAUCCUUCUACUCAUACAACUGAUAACUUGGAAGCCUAUUAAAGGCAAUAAAUAUAGCAAUUAGUUUGACAAGUUAUAAUGUAAUAGAGAUGGCCAAAUUAUAUUGGAAAUGAAAUUGAGCUUUGAAAUCGACUCUCAUAAGCAUUUCUGUUUGGUUUUUUCUUGUGGUUGAAGUUGCCAUUUUCCAUAGAAUAUAAAGAUUUUUAAUCAUUUUUCUAUUGUAAAUGGAAGAUUUUUAAUAAAUAUAUUGUUGUUGGUAUCUUUGUCAUGCUAUGUACAUAUCGUGAAAUUUCAAUUUAUAAUUCUGUAAAAAAAUACAUUUGAACCAAUAUUUUACGAUUAUUAUUAUUACUAUUAUUAUUAUGAGAUGUUUUUUUCAUAAUCGUUGCAAUAUUUGAAACUUGUUAUUUGAUUGAUAAUACUGUUUAUUCCUUAUGUUAAUAUUUAUUGAAACUUGGGUGUAUUUUUGUUUUGUACUUUUAUCAUUUUUAUUGAUUCUAAGUAUCGUUUAAACAUGUGCAAUAAUUUUUUUGUGGAAUCUAUUAUAACCAUGAUAUUAUUUCUAAUUGCAAUAUAUAUAUAUAUAUAUAUAUAUAUAUAUAUAUAUAUAUAUAUAUAUAUAUAUAUAUAUAUAUAUUAUAUAUAUAUAUAUAUUCUAUUCCAUUGAAGUUAGUCUAUGACCAAUAUUAUUGUAAAUUUAACACUACCUACAUAGAUUACAUUAUCCAAACUAUUGUAUUAUACUCAUUACCGUACCGUAAUGUUAUUAUAAUCGUUGAAUAUUAUUAAUAUCUAAUCAGUCAUAUCAGCCAAGGCCUGACCUAUUUGAAUAAUUUGCAUAUUUCUUUUCAAUCUUUUCUUAAAUUAAAUUUUGUUUUCAUCAAGUUUAUUUUACUGUAGAUAUGAUUGAUUUUUAUUUAAGUACAGCGUUGAUUGAAGGAAACAGUAAUGAAUUGGACUGCUCAUUUAGUACAAAUACUUACAUUUUACACAUAAAGUAGACGAUUUCAACAGUUUUCUCCGAAAUCUUAAAAUCUGCCUUUUAUGGUGUCUUCAAUGAAAGGCUUCUUUAGACUUAAAUUUAAUCACGAUUUCCAAUGAGCGAAUUUUUCAAACAUUACCACUGGAGAUGAUUUGGACGUGAUGACUUAGAAGUGAUCAGAAUUCUAUAAAUUCAGUAGAAUAUUCAGAUCCGCCUGAGAUCAAUUUCACUCAUCUAAUAAAUAUUGAUCAGAUACUGGCCAAAAUAGGCUAUGGAAUAUGAUUUACAGUGGGCUACUGAUUAAUCUAUAUCUAUAACUGAGUAUUUUCAUUCAUUACAAUUCUUUGCUGAUUUCUUCAUCGAGUUGUCUGUAGUGAUGUUCAAAAUUGGAAAUCUAUCUUUUAUCAAUUGAUUUUUUAGAAAUUUUAUGAACAUAAUAUUUUUAUAUAUCAUAUAAUUAGUUCUAGUGAUUUUCUUAAACUUUUAUAUAAAUUAUGUAGAUAAUACUAUUUAUCAAAUUCGAAUUCGAGAGGAAUGGAAUUUUAAAAUUCCAUUUGAAAAAGUUGGUCUUUGUAGAAGAUAAUAAUUUAGUGUUACGGAUACAUAUAUUGAAAUGUUAACAACGUUGAAUUAAGAUUAAUUUGAAUUAAUAAAUUAAUGAAUUAAGAUUUUAGAAUUUACGUACAAAGUUCAAAAUGUGAAUUGAAUUAAUUAAAACUACUAUCUAUUUUUUGUAUGUGACCUGCUUUUCAUAAAUUAUUUGUCGCAAAUUAUUAUCUGCAGGCAAUUCUAAAAUGUCCUUUUUGAGGAGAUCUGUUAAUAUGGACAAAAAAAUUAAAAACAAAUUCACCAAUUG